ACUGACUUCGACUCAUCCGCUUCCUGUUUACAGAUGAAGGUUGCUAGUUCUAACAGCCCAAAAUUGGCAGCUGAGGAAUCUAACCUGACUGUGCUUGUUUUGAGCAUAUUGUUCAGUAUUUUGCUGCAUUUUGCUAAGAAGCGAAAGGUCUGCUCUAGUGGGUUGUUAAUCUUUGAAGUGGCUAAUUCCAAGGAGUGACACUUGAUGUGGCAAUUAGAUGCAGUUAUUCAAUGCAUGAAGUUGAUAUGAAGCAUGCAAAAACGAAUGAGCUCAUAAAUGAACAUACGAAGAUAGAGGAUUACCUGCAUGUAAACCAUGGGGGAGAACUGCAAGUCUGGACCAAGCACCUUAUCUGGUACCAGGAGCCUCCAACGCGACGACGACGACGACUCCACGUCCAGCCACUCACCCAGCGUCCUUGUACACCUAGCUUCGAUGAUCCUCAGCCCACAGUCAUUGCACUUGAUCAGUGGACGUCCACUCUCCGCCCUCCGAAUUCGUCCAGCCAUGGGAUAGCAGAUGUUGAGCCACAAGAACAUGGGAUUUUUUAGGUCGGCAAUGGUGAUACCAUCAGUGAUCUCACUUUGAUUGAAGUAGUACACAGCCCUCAGGUAGUGCAGCUUCAUGAUGAGGUCCAUAUUGGUGAGUUCAUGCAGGACAGCAUUGCCGGUCACCGUCGCAGGCACCACAGUCGAUAUCCUGUGAUCGUAGAUGACAGUCUUUUCCUGUUCAACACCCAUGACCUGGUCUUAGAGGAGACUAGAGAAAGCUGAGGAGGAGAAAGAGACAACCAGUUUGUAGGUCACACAUUUUUGGAGACUUGGCUCAGCAUACGAUAUAUAGAGAAGGAUCGGAGGCAGGAAGCUGGGGUGGUGUGGGAGGUGAGCAACUAUUGUGACGGCAUUUUAAAUGGCUGCAUUGGUUGAUGGGACCCUGAAAAUGAACAUAAAGAUAGGAAAGCAUGAUCAGUUGGUUGGCACUAAAUUAAUUGGCGAUGACAAGAUUGCCACAUCGCGGUGCAAAGUACUCCCAGUGACAUGCAAACUUCUUCAGAUAUAAGAGAUGGGGGCUUCCUAAUGUUAUUCCUUGAGGCAACUGAGAUGACAGUGAAAUAACAGUGUUGCUCGAACCCUCAAAUGGACGGAAAUGGAGGAAUGCAAGGUGGAUAAACGAGGAGUGGAAAAACAGUGUUCUUCUGGUCAGAUCGAGUGUGGUGGAUCUUAAGAUUUGAGCUCCAUUUCCUAAAUAUAGACAAACCUGGUUACAAAUUUGAAGUUGCUACAGUUUCUGAGAUAUGGAGAUGGGAGUUUGAUCAGAAGAGAAAGUUGUAUGUAACAUUGGAGUUCCGAGUUUCUCACGGUGAAUGAAGACGGAGGUUCUCACGUGAAGUGCUUAGUGCUUAAUCAUUAGCCCACCAUUAAUGCAGUCCCUACUCACCUGCCUAUGCUGCUGUUCUAAGGUCCUUUCAUGCCCAGUCCUUUACCCCCUUGCUCCAUUCUUUGAUCAAAGUGUUCAUGGCUUCACUGAUGCUUUUAAUCCUGUAUCAUAUGUGGGAGGACAGUCAAGUUGGGUUUACAAGAUCAGAGGCAGUAAGCAAUCAUUAAUCUGAGCAUAAAUAUUUUGGAUUAGUACCAUCAUUGGAUUGGAUUUCUACCAAAUAAAAUAAAUUGGAGCACACGUAGACGUCCCAAUUUGUCUUUGAACCCAAAUCAGUAAUCACCAAAGCAAAAAGAAUGUAUCAAGAAAAGCCUUCUGAUGCAGGUCCUGAGUGGUUGCAGCUGUUAUGAAUGAGGAUGGUGACGGUGUCCAUUGUUGCUUGCUUGAUUAAGCGAGUAUGUCGUAGAUCUAAUCAUUGAAAACUAUGCAUGUUUAGGUGAGGCCUUCAAUAAUUGUGGUCUCCUUUGGGCUGUCAAGGAAGGUGGUUAACUGACUUAACUGGACAACCUCUUCUUUGAGCUCAUCAUUUUAUCUCUGCCUGACUUGGAACUAUUAGGGUGGAAACUUGAAGGGCUGGAGAAAGUGAGGUGAUGUCUUUUCCUUGACAUGAAGAGCUGUUUCAAGGAUAAGACAAGAGACAUGUCACUGAUGCUGAUGUGACUGCUUAUUUUUAAUAAGUAUGAUGUGCAGUGUAGCUCACCAGAAGAUAACAACAUUGUUGCUUACUUGUAUUAUUAAUUAAAGCAGCCACUGGAGUGGUUGUGACUAUGUUAUGUAGAGGACAUUCAAGAACAUGCAACAGUUGCUGUCACCUUAUCUGGAUGUUCAAUGAAUGAUGCUGGGUGAAGUUAAAACA